GCCUGUGCCCUGGUCAUUGAUAGUGCAGGGAGAGGACUUGCGGAAAGCACUUCCCCAUGUUUGGAGGGUCCACCCCAUCCCUUCUGAACCCUGGAGCUUUCCCACA